GAUUUCAACUGAAAAAGUCAUCAACAACAAAGUUGUAUAACUCAUCAAGAUCUAUAACUUCUAUUUUGGUCAUUUCUUCAUCCGACAAAGUGAUUUGUAACAUUGUUCACAAAAUAUACAUAUCUCUUAUAGUUUUAUAAACUAAGAGAGGUAUGUAAAUUUUAAGAAUAUGUUACGAUCACUUUGUCGGAUGAAGAAAUGACCAAAAUAGAAGUUAUAGAUCUUGAUGAGUUAUACAACUUUGUUGUUGAUGACUUUUUCAGCUGAAAUC
rfam:Oryza punctata chromosome 10, whole genome shotgun sequence.